UACGACGUAUGCAAGCGUUAUCCGGAAUUAUUGGGCGUAAAGCGUUUGUAGGCGGGCGAGUGUGUUUAAUGUUAAAUCUUAAAGCUCAACUUUGAAAUUGCGUUAAAAACUGCUUGUCUUGAGUAUGGUAGGGGUAAAGGGAAUUCCCAGUGUAGCGGUGAAAUGCGUAGAUAUUGGGAAGAACACUAAACAGCGAAGGCACUUUACUAGGCUAAUACUGACGCUGAGAAACGAAAGGUAAGGUAGCGAAACGGAUUAGAUACCCGUGUAGUCUUACCCGUAAACUAUGGACACUAAACGGUAAAUUUUUAAUUUACUGUUAAAGCUAACGCGUUAAGUGUCCCGCCUGGGGAGUAUGCUUGCAAAAGUGAAACUCAAAGGAAUUGACGGGGGCCCGCACAAGCGGUGGAGCAUGUGGUUUAAUUCGACGGUACACGAAGAACCUUACCAGGAUUUGACAUGCUAGAUAGUUGCUUGAAAGAGUAACGUGCCGUAAGGAAUCUAGACACAGGUGGUGCAUGGCUGUCGUCAGUUCGUGUUGUGAAAUGUUGGGUUAAGUCCCGCAACGAACGCAACCCUUGUCUUUAGUUAUUUUCUAAAGAGACUGCCUGUAAUAAACAGGAGGAAGGUAAGGAUGAGGUCAAGUCAUCAUGCCCCUUAUGUCCUGGGCUACACACGUGCUACAAUGGGAAAGACAAUGAGCUGCAAAUCUGUAAAUUUAAGCAAAUCUCUUAAACUUUCUCGUAGUUCGGAUUGUGGGCUGCAACUCGCCCACAUGAAGUUGGAAUCGCUAGUAAUCGCCAGUCAGCUAUAUGGCGGUGAAUCCGUUCCCGGGCCU
rnacentral:rRNA from 1 species